AAGACCUGUAAAACUCUAAUCUACAUCUAUUGACUGCAACUCAAUCGCUUUAAUUAAACUAAGACCUU
rnacentral:tRNA from 1 species